CAAAAGGCUCUUUUCAGAGCCACCAUACCACAAGUUGGUCUCUGACU
rfam:Operophtera brumata OBRT01_Sc01323, whole genome shotgun sequence.